rnacentral:rRNA from 1 species
UAAAAAGUCGUAACAAGGUUUCCUGAACCUGCGGAAGAUCAUUA